rnacentral:rRNA from 1 species
UUGAAGAGUUUGAUCNUGGCUCAGAUUGAACGCUGGCGGCAGGCCUAACACAUGCAAGUCGAACGGUAACAGGAAGCAGCUUGCUGCUUUGCUGACGAGUGGCGGACGGGUGAGUAAUGUCUGGGAAACUGCCUGAUGGAGGGGGAUAACUACUGGAAACGGUAGCUAAUACCGCAUAACGUCGCAAGACCAAAGAGGGGGACCUUCGGGCCUCUUGCCAUCGGAUGUGCCCAGAUGGGAUUAGCUAGUAGGUGGGGUAANGGCUCACCUAGGCGACGAUCCCUAGCUGGUCUGAGAGGAUGACCAGCCACACUGGAACUGAGACACGGUCCAGACUCCUACGGGAGGCAGCAGUGGGGAAUAUUGCACAAUGGGCGCAAGCCUGAUGCAGCCAUGCCGCGUGUAUGAAGAAGGCCUUCGGGUUGUAAAGUACUUUCAGCGGGGAGGAAGGGAGUAAAGUUAAUACCUUUGCUCAUUGACGUUACCCGCAGAAGAAGCACCGGCUAACUCCGUG